GACGAACGCUGGCGGCGUGCCUAACACAUGCAAGUCGAGCGAGUGAAUCUCCUUCGGGAGUGAAGCUAGCGGCGGACGGGUGAGUAACACGUGGGCAACCUGCCUCAUAGAGGGGAAUAGCCUUCCGAAAGGAAGAUUAAUACCGCAUAAGAUUGUAGCUUCGCAUGAGGUAGCAAUUAAAGGAGCAAUCCGCUAUGAGAUGGGCCCGCGGCGCAUUAGCUAGUUGGUGAGGUAACGGCUCACCAAGGCGACGAUGCGUAGCCGACCUGAGAGGGUGAUCGGCCACAUUGGGACUGAGACACGGCCCAGACUCCUACGGGAGGCAGCAGUGGGGAAUAUUGCACAAUGGGGGAAACCCUGAUGCAGCAACGCCGCGUGAGUGAUGACGGCCUUCGGGUUGUAAAGCUCUGUCUUCAGGGACGAUAAUGACGGUACCUGAGGAGGAA
rnacentral:rRNA from 1 species